rnacentral:rRNA from 1 species
UUCACCGCUACACCUGAAAUUCUACCCCCCUCUACAGUACUCUAGUUUGCCAGUUUCAAAUGACCUUCCGAGGUUGAGCCCCGGGCUUUCACAUCUGACUUAACAAACCACCUGCAUGCGCUUUACGCCCAGUAAUUCCGAUUAACGCUCGCACCCUCCGUAUUACCGCGGCUGCUGGCACGGAGUUAGCCGGUGCUUCUUCUGUCGCUAACGUCAAGAUAUGUGCGUAUUAAGCACACACCCUUCCUCACGACUGAAAGUACUUUACAACCCGAAGGCCUUCUUCAUACACGCGGCAUGGCUGCAUCAGGCUUGCGCCCAUUGUGCAAUAUUCCCCACUGCUGCCUCCCGUAGGAGUCUGGGCCGUGUCUCAGUCCCAGUGUGGCUGAUCAUCCUCUCAGACCAGCUAGGGAUCGUCGCCUUGGUGAGCCAUUACCUCACCAACUAGCUAAUCCCACAUAGGCGUAUCCAAUAGCGCAAGGUCCGAAGAUCCCCUGCUUUGCUCCUAAGAGAGUAUGCGGUAUUAGCCAUCGUUUCCAAUGGUUAUCCCCCUCUACUGGGCAACUUCCUAUGCAUUACUCACCCGUCCGCCGCUCGACGCCGAAUAGCAAGCUAUUCUCGUUUCCGCUCGACUUGCAUGUGUUAGGCCUGCCGCCAGCGUUCAAUCUGAGCCAGGAUCAAACUCU